AUUGAACGCUGGCGGCAGGCCUAACACAUGCAAGUCGAACGAGUGGCGGACGGGUGAGUAAUGUCUGGGAAACUGCCUGAUGGAGGGGGUUAACUACUGGAAACGGUAGCUAAUACCGCAUACCAUCGGAUGUGCCCAGAUGGGAUUAGCUAGUAGGUGGGGGAGAGGGUCACCUAGGCGACGAUCCCUGGCUGGGCUGAGAGGAUGACCAGCCACACUGGAACUGAGACACGGUGCAGACUCCUACGGGAGGAAGCGGUGGGGAAUAUUGCAAUAGGGGAGCAAGCCCGAUGCAGCCAUGCCGCGUGUAUGAAGAAGGCCUGCGGGUUGUAAAGUACUUUCAGUGGGGAGGCGUUACCCGCAGAAGAAGCACCGGCUAACUCCGUGCCAGCCGCCGCGGUAAUAC
rnacentral:rRNA from 1 species